AACGUAGGUGGCAAGCGUUAUCCGGAAUUACUGGGCGUAAAGGGCGCGUAGGUGGCGACCCAAGUCGAUGGUGAAAGCUCGCCGCUCUACGGCGACGUCGGCCACCGGAUACUGGGUUGCUGGAGCACUGUAGAGGCAGAUGGAAUUCCGGGUGUAGCGGUGGAAUGCGUAGAGAUCCGGAAGAACACCGGUGGCGAAGGCGGCCUGCUGGGCAGUAGCUGACACUGAGGCGCGAAAGCGUGGGGAGCGAACAGG
rnacentral:rRNA from 1 species